AUAACGUUCGGAAACGGACGCUAAUACCGCAUACGUCCUACGGGAGAAAGCAGGGGACCUUCGGGCCUUGCGCUAUCAGAUGAGCCUAGGUCGGAUUAGCUAGUUGGUGAGGUAAUGGCUCACCAAGGCGACAAUCCGUAACUGGUCUGAGAGGAUGAUCAGUCACACUGGAACUGAGACACGGUCCAGACUCCUACGGGAGGCAGCAGUGGGGAAUAUUGGACAAUGGGCGAAAGCCUGAUCCAGCCAUGCCGCGUGUGUGAAGAAGGUCUUCGGAUUGUAAAGCACUUUAAGUUGGGAGGAAGGGUUGUAGAUUAAUACUCUGCAAUUUUGACGUUACCGACAGAAUAAGCACCGGCUAACUCUGUGCCAGCAGCCGCGGUAAUACAGAGGGUGCAAGCGUUAAUCGGAAUUACUGGGCGUAAAGCGCGCGUAGGUGGUUUGUUAAGUUGGAUGUGAAAUCCCCGGGCUCAACCUGGGAACUGCAUUCAAAACUGACUGACUAGAGUAUGGUAGAGGGUGGUGGAAUUUCCUGUGUAGCGGUGAAAUGCGUAGAUAUAGGAAGGAACACCAGUGGCGAAGGCGACCACCUGGACUAAUACUGACACUGAGGUGCGAAAGCGUGGGGAGCAACAGGAUUAGAUACCCUGGUAGUCCACGCCGUAAACGAUGUCAACUAGCCCUUGGAAGCCUUGAGCUUUAGUGGCGCAGCUAACGCAUUAAGUUGACCGCCUGGG
rnacentral:rRNA from 1 species